CCUACGGGAGGCAGCAGUGAGGAAUAUUGGUCCAUGGGCGGAAGCCUGAACCAGUCAAGUCGCGUGAGGGAUUAAGGCCCUGCGGGUCGUAAACCUCUUUUGCCGGGGCGCAGAGGUCCGGACGUGUCCGGGCCGGGAGAGUACCCGGAGAAAAAGCAUCGGCUAACUCCGUGCCAGCAGCCGCGGUAAUACGGAGGAUGUGAGCGUUAUCCGGAUUUAUUGGGUUUAAAGGGUGCGUAGGCGGGCAUUUAAGCCGGCGGUCAAAUGUCGGGGCUCAACCCCGGCCUGCCGGCGGAACUGGGUGCCUUGAGUGGGCGAGAAGUAUGCGGAAGGCGUGGUGUAGCGGUGAAAUGCAUAGAUAGCACGCAGAACCCCGAUUGCGAAGGCAGCAUACCGGCGCCCUACUGACGCUGAGGCACGAAAGUGCGGGUAUCGAACAGGAUUAGAUACCCUGGUAGUC
rnacentral:rRNA from 1 species